rnacentral:rRNA from 1 species
UACGAAGGGGGCUAGCGUUGCUCGGAAUCACUGGGCGUAAAGGGUGCGUAGGCGGGUCUUUAAGUCAGGGGUGAAAUCCUGGAGCUCAACUCCAGAACUGCCUUUGAUACUGAGGAGCUUGAGUCCGGAAGAGGUGAGUGGAACUCGACGUGUGUAGGAGUGAAAUUCGUAGAUAUUCGGAAGAACACCAGUGGCGAAGGCGGCUCACUGGUCCGGUACUGACGCUGAGUGU